AGCGUGGCCUGAUGAGCAGUGCCACGUCCACGCCCAGGAUCCGAACCAGCGAAACCCUGGGCCACCGUAGCGGAGUGUGCAAACUUAACCACUCGGCCACCGGGCCGGCCCCUAGAACUUCUGAUAGGGGUUCUCAGGUACCACAUUCUGCGUUUUUCUUAACUUUGUAGUUUUCCAAGGAAUCAGGACCUGGGUCCACCUCACAGUCCAGGCUUGCCGUCAGCCCCUUUAUACACAGCCUGCUUUCCUUUACGCCUGUCCCAGCACUGCUUUAUUAACAUUCUACUUACACUCCACCCAUCCCCAGAUCCUAUCGUGAUCUUGUCUGUCUGCGUGUGAUGAGACACCCACUGUUCCUCUGGUGUUUGUAAACCUAAUUCUGUUGAUCCGCAGGUUCGGCCCAGGGGGUAUUCAUCAGAUGGGCUGUCGUGAAGCAGAGUUUGAGGACCACUGCUCUUCUUCACUGCUUUGCAGUAAAGGCUGUGGUCCAAACUGCUGUCAGAAGUGAACUCAUGUAACCAGCCUCAAAGAGGGAAGAAAAAUACCCCUGCUCCCCAAAGAGAUGAUUGAUUGGCCUGGGCCAUUAAAUAACACUUCCUAAUCAGUUUCUAGGUGUCAGAAAUUUUAACCAUGUGAUCACUAAAAUUCAACACAGCCCUGAAAUAAGGUACUAUUAUGCCCAGUAUAUAGAUGAGAAAACAGAGACUCAGAGAAGUUAAGCAAAUUAUGCAGGAUAAUUAAACAGCAAGUUGGUAACAGAGCUUCACGUCCAGGUGUGUGGCUCCAAUUUUUUGCUUUUUUCACAAUCUGCCCCACAUCUUUCAUGACCUGCAGCAGCCUAUGAGAGACAACCUCUCUGAGUGGACCUGUCAGAACAACUAAGCCUGCUGGGUAUGGGCAGUCUUCCCAAAUGUUUGCCCCAAGUGCCUCAGCACCUGAUCCUACCAACAGGAAAAGCGAAAGUGGAGAGACGGCCGCUGUGCUGGGCGAUGUGUGCCCAGCACUGUUCUCUAUUCCUUCUCCGCAGCGUUUGGUCCAGUAGCCACCCCUUCCCCUGUAGCCUGUGAGCUUCUGGAGAAUCUCCAGGGAGUGAGCUAAGAGUAAUCGUAUAACCUUUGCCACUGUGGCUUCAGGAACCAGGCUCUAAUACAAUCAGCAGGUGACAUCCUCCUGAUGAUAGGAAUUGGGUCAGGAAUGGGUGUAUGACCAGUGAGGCUCAAGGCAAGAUUUGCAAGGGGCUUCUGGAAACAAAUUUCUUCAGAGCCACUGGAAUAGAUGUUCUCUCUUCCUCUGGCUAUUGCAGGGUGCAGAAUAAGACUGCAACUACAGCAGUCUGCUCAUGACCACCCUAAGGCUCAGACUAACAGGAGAGAUGCAAAUAGCUGAGAAGAUAGCUCAAGUAGAGGAAUGGAGUGGGUGCUUUGAUUGAACCAUGCCUGAUCUCCACCCCACUACAGGAAUUUUUAAGUUAUAUGAGCCAAUAAAUUCUACCCUGUCGUUUAUAUCAUAUUUAAAUUGGAUUUCCUGCUACUUGCCAACGAGAGCCUCUGGACUGGCAAUAGCCUCCUUUGAGGCUCUGAAGACCUCUGAAGACCUUGUGAUAUUCUCAGCCACUCCAUGUGACAGCCUUGGGAGCAGCUGAGGUAAUCUAUUGCCACUCCUGGGGCGUGCCCUGUCACAGUGGAGCACAGAGUCCACACUCACAAGCUGUUAGAGUUGGAAGAAGAUCCAGCCCUUGCUUAAAGUCUAUUUUAGGUGAGGAAAUGGAGGCUGUGAGAAAUGAUGAACCAGGUAUGAACCUAGGUCCCAGGACUCCCAGUUCAGUGCUCCUCCCACCACACUGCGGCACCUCAACUUCCCGCGGACUAGUGGAUGAGCUCAGCACACGUUUACCUGGCAGAGGUACACGUUCCGAAAGACCUGGAAAGCCAGGUUUGAAUAUGGAAUUUUUAGAUUCGUCAAAGUUCUGUGCCAGCGUGUGGCAGCACAAGGAGAGCAGGGCCAGGCCCCAGCCCUGCCCCUGGCCCAUCGCACACUGAGAGGAAACCCCAAGCCUGCGAACUAAGCUCCAUCUAUAACCCCUAUGAACAGCUUGCCCCUGGCCACCGUGGGUGCUUCCAGAGAUCCCAGUAUGAAGAUGCUGGCUUUACGUAGGGGGGCCAUCACCCGAGGACUUGCAGUAGGGGCUGAGGGAAUCGGGCUGACCAAUGUGCCCACCUCUGAAGACACCCCCGCCUCGGGCUGAUGUCGUCCACU